UUGGCCCUGAAUCAAGGCGUGUGCUUUGUGGAAGCUGUUAGUUUCAGGCAGGAACUUAAGACAUGUCUUUCUGUGGUCCUUGGACCAUUUCAGGCUGUUAGAAAUUAGAGAGAAUCAGCC
rnacentral:snoRNA from 1 species